GUAGGUGGCAAGCGUUGUCCGGAAUUAUUGGGCGUAAAGCGCGCGCAGGCGGUUCUUUAAGUCUGAUGUGAAAGCCCACGGCUCAACCGUGGAGGGUCAUUGGAAACUGGAGAACUUGAGUACAGAAGAGUAAAGCGGAAUUCCACGUGUAGCGGUGAAAUGCGUAGAGAUGUGGAGGAACACCAGUGGCGAAGGCGGCUUUCUGGUCUGUAACUGACGCUGAGGCGCGAAAGCGUGGGGAGCAAACAGGGAUUAGAUACCCUGGUAGUCCACGCCGUAAACGAUGAGUGCUAAGUGUUAGGGGGUUUCCGCCCCCUUAGUGCUGCAGCUAACGCAUUAAGCACUCCGCCUGGGGAUACGGCCGCAAGGCUG
rnacentral:rRNA from 1 species